rnacentral:rRNA from 1 species
CCUACGGGUGGCAGCAGUGAGGAAUAUUUGUCAAUGGGCGCGAGCCUGAUCCAGCCAAGUAGCGUGAAGGAUGGCUGCCCUACGGGUUGUAAACUUCUGUUAUAAAGGAAUAAAGUGAGGCACAUGUGCCUUUUUGUAUGUACUUUAUGAAUAAGGAUCGGCUAACUCCGUGCCAGCAGCCGCGGUAAUACGGAGGAUCCGAGCGUUAUCCGGAUUGAUUGGGUUUAAAGGGAGCGUAGAGGGGUUGUUAAGUCAGUUGUGAAAGUUUGCGGCUCAACCGUAAAAUUGCAAUUGAUACUGGCAGUCUUGAGUACAGUUGAGGUAGGCGGAAUUCGUGGUGUAGCGGUGAAAUGCGUAGAUAUCACGAAGAACUCCGAUUGCGAAGGCAGCUUACUAAACUGCCACUGACAUUGAGGCACGAAAGUGAGGGGAUCAAACAGGAUUAGAUACCCGUGUAGUC